rnacentral:tRNA from 1 species
GCGGGUGGCAGUGAAAACUGUAGUGGUAAGCUAAGCCGUAGGUUAGAGGUUCGAGUCCUCUCGGGCGCACCA